UACGAAGGGGGCGAGCGUUGUUCGGAAUUACUGGGCGUAAAGGGCGCGUAGGCGGCAAUUCAAGUCACUUGUGAAAUCUCUGAGCUUAACUCAGAACGGUCAAGUGAUACUGCUUUGCUAGAGUGCAGAAGGGGCAACCGGAAUUCUUGGUGUAGCGGUGAAAUGCGUAGAUAUCAAGAGGAACACCGGAGGUGAAGACGGGUUGCUGGGCUGACACUGACGCUGAGGCGCGAAAGCUAGGGGAGCGAACGGG
rnacentral:rRNA from 1 species